rnacentral:rRNA from 1 species
CACGUAGGCACCAAGCGUUGUCCGGAUUUAUUGGGCGUAAAGAGCUCGUAGGCGGUUCGGUAAGUCGGGUGUGAAAACUUUGGGCUCAACCCAAAGCGUGCACUCGAUACUGCCAUGACUAGAGUUCGGUAGGGGAGUGGGGAAUUCCUAGUGUAGCGGUGAAAUGCGCAGAUAUCUGGAGGAACACCGGUGGCGAAGGCGGCAUCCUGGACCGGUAUUGACGCUGAGGAGCGAAAGCCAGGGAGCAAACGGGAUUAAGAUGA